GCAAAUACCUGCUGGCCCACUCAUCUGGCUCUGUACCCUGGAAACCCAUGCUUGGUACUACAGGUGUGUAAUUACUCCAGAUGAAACUCUCUAGGAUAUACUGGUGUGAUGGGCAGCAACAUUUCCUCAAAUUUUAACCUUUGGAGUUAUUGCUGCCCUAUGCCAAAGUAUCCUUAAACCAGA